UGUGGCAUGUGCUUCUCUCUCUUUGCAGUUCCUUCUGGGCCUGUGUGGACUAGGGGCACAACGCGGCGCCUGACUGGCAGGAGGGGAAAGCGGAGACUCCUUCAGGUUUCCAAAGACGUCCGAGCGGACAACAUUAGGAAAUCUUGAAGAGUCUUACACUUUUAAUCCUCCAGUCGUUGACUGCGCUGUGAGGACGUUGUGGUGAGGUGGUGGGAGUAAAAAGCAACUGCUUUGCUUGCCCUUUACAAUCCAGUUAAGAAUUUUACUGACAGAAUGUCGGCACCAGCUGUGGAAGAACUGAUCAGCCUCAACUCUGAAUCUCUAUCCUGAGACAAAACAACAGGAUGUGCCUUGGAGAAGAAUCUCAGGAUAGAGCAUUUUUGAUUGAGUUCCAAAUCUGCAAGCUCAGGGU